CCUACGGGUGGCAGCAGUGGGGAAUAUUGGACAAUGGGGGGAACCCUGAUCCAGCCAUGCCGCGUGUGUGAAGAAGGCCCUCGGGUUGUAAAGCACUUUCAGUGAGGAAGAACGCCUGGUGGUUAAUACCCAUCAGGAAAGACAUCACUCACAGAAGAAGCACCGGCUAACUCCGUGCCAGCAGCCGCGGUAAUACGGAGGGUGCGAGCGUUAAUCGGAAUUACUGGGCGUAAAGCGCGCGUAGGUGGCUUGAUAAGCCGGUUGUGAAAGCCCCGGGCUCAAACUGGGAACGGCAUCCGGAGCUGUCAAGCUAGAGUGCAGGAGAGGAAGGUAGAAUUCCCGGUGUAGCGGUGAAAUGCGUAGAGAUCGGGAGGAAUACCAGUGGCGAAGGCGGCCUUCUGGACUGACACUGACACUGAGGUGCGAAAGCGUGGGUAGAAAACAGGAUUAGCUACCAUUGUAGUA
rnacentral:rRNA from 1 species